GGUGACUCGUCGGGAGUAGGAAAAACUCAGAACUCGCAAGUGGAAAAUUGUACUAUAACGAAAAUCUUGGCAUAGUAUUCCCUACAAAGGUUAUCAUUGCAAAAAUUCACAUCCUUUCGGCCAUCACUCGCUCCAGAGUAUUCUUGAGACUAUAAUUGCAGACUUUGAACUAACUAAAAUGGACAAAAAAACUUGUAAAGAAGAACUGCAAUUGGUUGUGCAUGACUUCAGCCUUUCGUUGGAGGAACCUUUGCAUUUGCUGUACUCUAAAGGAAAGCUGAAAUCUGCAAAUGAAAUUUUAGAGAAGCUCCUUAAAUGCCUGCCAGGUCGGUACGAUGGAAAGAGCAAUGUCCUCGAGUUUAUCGUACAGGUAGAGGAGUGUGCCCAAGCACACGAAAUAGAUUUAGACGAUAUUUUAGGGACGAUGCCCCUGGUAUUGGCGGACCGUGCACUCGAGUGGUGGGUCCAAUUGCCACCAAUCGCCACUUGGAACUCAUUUAGCGAUGCUUUAUUAAGAAGCUUUCCACCAGAAGGGAGAGCGCUGAAAUGGCAAAAUAGGCAACACAAUUGUCAGUGCCUUGAUAAACACAGGAUCAAGGCAAAGCGUAAUUGGAAGAGACGUUGCUUUGCAGCUGGUCAACAGUCACACAUUUAUCCACUACUUUGUCAUACUACCAGAAGUGGAGGCUGUUAUUGUUCUGGGCACUGUCUAACAGCAAACACCACAAGUGACGAAGAGCUAGCUUUAGAGCAAGUUUCCACAUCCACGGAUAGAGUUCCAGCAGAGCCAGACAGCCAGGCCGAGGAGCUGACAAGGCUGACAAUUCCAACAAUCAAUCGCCGAAAUGGCAGGCUACGCAGCGCCUCAGGAAAUGCAAGAAA